CCUCCCAAAGUGCUGGGAUUACAGGCGUGAGCCACCAAGCCCGGCCGUCUUUGAUAUUUCUUAUAAGUGCACAGAAGAAAACGCUGACGUAUGCUGCCUUCCGUCUCUGCUUCGGCUGCCUAUAAGGAAGGGCCGCCGUCCUAUGAUCAUGUAGUGACUUGCGUGACCUUAUCAAUGACUUGGACGACUCACCCUCCUUACCCUAACCCCUUGUCUUGUAUCAGCGCGCCCAGCCAUUCAGGGCCAUUACCGGUCUUCGCAUCUUGGUGGUAGUGGUCCCCUGGGCCCAGCUGUUUUCUCUUCAUCUCUUUGUCUUGUGUAUUUAUUUCUUACGAUCUCUCCACACAUGGUGAGAACACCCGCCAAGCCCCGUGGGGCUGGACUCAAAUGAUAGAAGUCAGGCUUUUAAUCAAACGCAAGCAAUUCAGAAUGCCAAAUUAAGAUCUAUACCCUUUCCCAAAUCCAGUAUCGUAGGAGAAAUUACGAUACAAUAAUUAAUCACCCUCCUCCCGCCAAGCUAAACCUCAGAGAAGUUGAAGUUCUAAAGUUCAAGUCCAGAAAUACUGGGAAGGGAAAAACAAAACAAAGCAAAAAACCCAGGAAACAAACAUCAGGGAAAAACCCAGAAUCUCGUCAUGAAAACAGUGUCCGGUUGCUCUGUUUCUGAUUGGCAGCUCCCAGCUUGUGUUUCACCCCGGCCUCUGGGGCCGGCUCCGUGCCUGGCCUGAGGCCGACUCCCUGGCACAGUCCACACAGUUGGGCCAGGCUUCCUGCCCUGGAAACCAGUUGGGGUUUCUCCAUAGGAACGUGCCUGGGCAGACACAGGGCUUUGCUGGUUCUCCUGCAGCCUCGUUUUGCUGCCUCACUAGCACCAGGCCCACAGCCACACAAUGGGGAAAACGGACUCCACGUGCCUCCAAGGUGAACACCCUAGUCUCAGGAGCAGAGACCUAGCGGCGUCCCAGGGAGAGUGGAGAGACAGCGAGAGAAAUGCUCUGGCUGGUCCAGAGGGCGAAACAGCAGAGACUGUUCUGUAAGAGGCGUGUGAACCGGAGCAACUCCAUCUUGAUGAGGAGCUGGGCAAGACGAGGCUGAGACCUACUGGGCUGCAUCCCCAGGUGGUUAAGGCGUUCUAAGGCACAGGAUGACACAGGAGGUUGGCAAUAGCCACAGGUCACAAAGACCUUGCUGAUAAAACAGUUUGGAGUAAGGAAGCCGGACAAAUUCCUCCAAAACCAAGAUGGUGACGAGAUGGUGACGAGAGUGACCUCUGGCCGUCCUCAGUGCUACACUCCCACCAGUUCCCUGACAGUUCACAAAUGCCACGGCAACGUCAGGAGGUUACUCUACAUGGUCUAAAAGAGGAGGCAAGAAUUAUCCACCCCUUGUUUAGCGUAUCAUCAAGAAAUAACCGAAAAAAUGAGCAGCCAGCAGCUCUCGGGGCCCCUCUGUCUACGGAGUAGCCAAUCUUUAUUACUUUACUUUCCUAAUAAACUUGCUUUCACUUUA